CGGCAGCACAGUGGUAGCAAUACCAUGGGUGGCGAGUGGCGGACGGGUGAGUAAUGCAUCGGGACCUACCUGAACGUGGGGGAUAACGUAGGGAAACUUACGCUAAUACCGCAUACGUCCUACGGGAGAAAGCGGGGGACCUUCGGGCCUCGCGCGGUCAGACGGACCGAUGUUCGAUUAGCUAGUUGGUAGGGUAAUGGCCUACCAAGGCGACGAUCGAUAGCUGGUCUGAGAGGAUGAUCAGCCACACUGGAACUGAGACACGGUCCAGACUCCUACGGGAGGCAGCAGUGGGGAAUAUUGGACAAUGGGCGCAAGCCUGAUCCAGCAAUGCCGCGUGUGUGAAGAAGGCCUUCGGGUUGUAAAGCACUUUUAUCGGGAGCGAAAUACCAUCGGCUAAUAACCGGUGGGGCUGACGGUACCCGAGGAAUAAGCACCGGCUAACUUCGUGCCAGCAGCCGCGGUAAUACGAAGGGUGCAAGCGUUAAUCGGAAUUACUGGGCGUAAAGGGUGCGUAGGCGGUUGGUUAAGUCUGUCGUGAAAUCCCCGGGCUCAACCUGGGAAUGGCGAUGGAUACUGGCCGGCUAGAGUGUGUCAGAGGAUGGUGGAAUUUCCGGUGUAGCGGUGAAAUGCGUAGAGAUCGGAAGGAACAUCAGUGGCGA
rnacentral:rRNA from 1 species